rnacentral:rRNA from 1 species
GAUGAACGCUGGCGGCGUGCCUAAUACAUGCAAGUCGAGCGAACAGAUGAGGAGCUUGCUCCUCUGACGUUAGCGGCGGACGGGUGAGUAACACGUGGAUAACCUACCUAUAAGACUGGGAUAACUACGGGAAACCGGAGCUAAUACCGGAUAAUAUAUUGAACCGCAUGGUUCAAUAGUGAAAGACGGUUUUGCUGUCACUUAUAGAUGGAUCCGCGCCGCAUUAGCUAGUUGGUAAGGUAACGGCUUACCAAGGCAACGAUGCGUAGCCGACCUGAGAGGGUGAUCGGCCACACUGGAACUGAGACACGGUCCAGACUCCUACGGGAGGCAGCAGUAGGGAAUCUUCCGCAAUGGGCGAAAGCCUGACGGAGCAACGCCGCGUGAGUGAUGAAGGUCUUCGGAUCGUAAAACUCUGUUAUUAGGGAAGAACAAAUGUGUAAGUAACUAUGCACGUCUUGACGGUACCUAAUCAGAAAGCCACGGCUAACGACG